AAUGAACGCUGGCGGCGCGCCUAAUACAUGCAAGUCGAGCGAGAAGACGUAGCAAUACGUUUGUAAAGCGGCGAACGGGUGAGGAAUACAUGGGUAACCUACCCUAGAGUGGGGAAUAACUAGCCGAAAGGUUAGCUAAUACCGCGUACGCUCCUUGGACUUCGGUUCAGGGAGGAAAGCGAUACCGUGGGUAUCGCGCUCUUGGAUGGGCUCAUGUCCUAUCAGCUUGUUGGUGAGGUAACGGCUCACCAAGGCUUCGACGGGUAGCUGGUCUGAGAGGACGAUCAGCCACACUGGCACUGCGACACGGGCCAGACUCCUACGGGAGGCAGCAGUAAGGAAUAUUGCGCAAUGGGCGAAAGCCUGACGCAGCGACGCCGCGUGGGGGA
rnacentral:rRNA from 1 species